rnacentral:rRNA from 1 species
GUAUGCGUGAUAUUAGCUAGUUGGUAAGGUAACGGCUACCAAGGCAACGAUAUCUAGGGGUCUGAGAGGAUGAUCCCCCACACUGGUACUGAGACACGGACCAGACUCCUACGGGAGGCAGCAGUGAGGAAUAUUGGACAAUGGACGAAAGUCUGAUCCAGCCAUGCCGCGUGAAGGAUGAAUGCCCUAUGGGUUGUAAACUUCUUUUAUAUAGGAAGAAACCUCUGGAUUUAUCCAGAGCUGACAUUACUAUACGAAUAAGCAUCGGCUAACUCCGUGCCAGCAGCCGCGGUAAUACGGAGGAUGCAAGCGUUAUCCGGAUUUAUUGGGUUUAAAGGGUCCGUAGGCGGAAUUUUAAGUCAGUGGUGAAAGCCUGCAGCUCAACUGUAGAACUGCCAUUGAUACUGAAAUUCUUGAAUAUAUAUGAAGUGGGCGGAAUGCGUCAUGUAGCGGUGAAAUGCACAGAUAUGACGCAGAACACCAAUUGCGAAGGCAGCUCACUAAUGUAUUAUUGACGCUGAGGGACGAAAGCAUGGGGAGCGAACAGGAUUAGAUACCCUGGUAGUCCAUGCCGUAAACGAGGAUUACUCG